AUCCAGGUCUCUGGACAUCCCCCCCCGCCCCCCCCCCCCCAACACACACACACCAGGGCCUUCCAGUCGAGGACACAUGACUAUUUUUACCUAGGUGGGCUCUGGGCUGCCCACAUCCAGAGCGGGGCGUUCACCAUGGCAACGAUUGACGUCAUCAACCUCCGCAGCCAAUUCAAGGGGGCCGGAAGCUGCCCUGCGCAGGACGCGGGGCUGGGAGAGGUUGGCUGGGUCCCCCCACAGGGGAAAGGGCAGGUCUGGGGGAUUGAGGUGUCACUCAGAGGCCUGACCCCAGCUACUCUGAACCCACAAAACAAAACCGAGCUGUUCAAGAAAGAUGUGAAGUGGCAGAGAGAAGCGAGGGAAGGUCGGCAGCUCUCGGCAAAGGCUGGAUGGAAAGCUAGGACCGCAUGGAACUCUCCCGGCACCGCCCCCGGACCCUCUGCUCCCAGAGCCAUCUGCUUCCGCCCUCAGCCCCCUCUUUGCAGGCUGUUCCCCAAGGAAUGACUCCUGCGUAGACUGGGGUAGGUGGGGGCCCGAUCCCUUGGAAUUGCCCUUUAAAGAUAAUAUUUACGGCAUCCUCUUCUGUUCUUGGCUGGGCUGGGCGAGCUGCCUCCCAGCCAGAAGCCUCAGCUCCAUCCUGAGGAACCCCCAAUCUGGAGAAGACAGAGCAGGGCGUGGACACCUCCAUACUGGAGGCAUUAGGGGGGACCCAGAGGGAGAGAAGAGGCUGGAGCAGGCAGCAGGGGGGUGGGGAACGACAAGAGACUUCCUGCCCCCCCUCCCCCGGCUAGUGAGAAUCUAUAGGGUGGAAGUGGGACUCAGCCCAGUUGGCACCAAGCCCUGGGGGAAGUUGGCAGCUGCAGUGAAGGGAGAAAAGUCAGCAGGGACCACAUAGCACCCGCCUGAGGGCUUUCGGGAGGAGCAGAAUAAGUGGAACUGCGCUACAAGGAGGCAGGAUGGACCUUCCGGGGAACCUCUUCAGCAGCAGCAGAGACAAAGUUCAGUUACAAGCUCUGGCCACCUCUACUGCCCCUGGAUUUGGGGAUCUGGUGUUUUAAAAUUCUGCCCUUUGUGAAGCAAGGGUCCAGGUGGGAGAUGAUAAAAAUAAUGAUAAAAUAAUAAGAAUAGGGCAGCCCGGAUGGCUCAGUGGUUUAACACCACCUUCAGCCCAUGGUAUGAUCCCGGAGACCUGGGAUCAAGUCCUGUGUCAGGCUCCCUGCACGGAGCCUGCUUCUCCCUCUGCCUGUGUCUGUGCCUCUCUCUCUCUGCAUCUCUCAUGAAUAAAUAAAUAAAAUCUUAAAAAAUAAUAAGAAGA
rnacentral:lncRNA from 1 species